AGUCACCUUUUAUUUUCUUCUAUCACACAUCAGUCGCUUCUACUUUUCUGGUGGGAGAGAAAAACGAUGGCAGACGGAUAUUGCUACGGCGGUUUCUCUGGAGUACCGUACCCGAUCUUUCUCACUUCUCCGUCUCCUCAUCCUCCAACCUCUGCGCCGCCGAUCCAACCUUUUCAGUCCUAUGAUCCAACAUACCAAGGAGAGUUUGAUCCGAUGGUUUCUCAAGGCUCUUACCACCGAUCGCCGGCUGAUUGGUCCAAUUAUCCACCGUAUGGUGAUAAUUCUCGCUCUCAGACGCCUUCUUCAUCGUUUGGGAACUUGGGUCCCAGGGCUGAAGAUUCUCGUAAAGACUUGUUCUCACCGAGUGGAUUUAACCCUUCAAGGGGAUCAUCAUCAUCUGAUGCUGUGCCGUUUCCCACUGAGAAUUUCUUAGAGAGGCAACGCUAUGAGUGGGUGCCUUAUACCUCAGCUACCUCUGCUUCUUUAGCGGAUACGCUGAACAGGAAUUCACAGGAGACGUUCUAUAAGCCUAUCCCGCCUUCUGGUGUUUAUGCUUUUGAUGAUAAACGUCCUGGAGAUUACUACCGUCAUGGCUAUGAUAAACCUGAGAGUAUGGAUCCUGUCCCUGGUAUUUCCGUGGAGCCUUGCGUACCUGUUCCGUCUUUACCAAUGAAAACGGAAGCUCUCUUUGAUGGAAGUCAGACUGGGGUUCGUUUAGGAGAUGAUGGAAAGUCAUUCUUUGGUGAGAGUAUUCGACCAAGCUUGCACGGUUCUUCUGUUGAACCGGUGAAUUUCAACGUGUUGCUUGGAUAUGGUGAAGCCACUGGUCAUGUCAAGCCUUUGUCCGAGAAGGCUGUUGGCUCGCCUGGUUCAAGGAGUCUCCGUUCUUCCAACCCGCUACAGUUCAAUGUCGAGUCCUCGGGUUCACUGUUUAAGGAAAAACCAGAAGGUAGUGGUGGUGUCUCCUCCCUUUAUCAGAUGCCGAAUUCGUUGGUCGCUGACAUUGAGAAUGGUAUUUCUGAGAGCUCCUUUAAGAAAGCGGUUGAAGAUUUGAAUUGCAAUGAGCAUAGAUCCUGGAACCACUUCAUGGUGUCUUCUGAGGGACCUUCAGCUCCUACUGUGUUUUCUAUGGGAAGUGAUCUAUGUGGUGGAUUGAAGGAGGAUGAUGGCUAUGCUGCUCAUUCAGCUGUCAACUAUAAAACCCUUUCCGAAGGUAGUGCUAAUCAACCUAGUGAAGCUGUUCAAGCCAGUGCAAAGACAUGUAAGCCCCAGGAACAACCGUUUGAUACGAUGAAUAGAGCUAAGAAGACCAGUUUGUUGACAGAUCUUUGUAUCAAAGGGAGUAGUAGUAGAUCGGAUGCAGAUGAUGUCUCAACUGGCCGAUCACCUGAAAAGCAUUUAUGCGAUCAAGGAGAUCUCCCAUCCCCGCCUUCUUCUCCAAGAGUUUCUUCCGUGAUUAAUGCCAUGCAUAAUCUGUCAGAAGUGCUUGUUUACGAAUGCCUCAACAAUGGGAGCUGGCUGAUGCCGGAACAACUUGAGAACCUUGAUAAAGUCGUAGAGAAUCUCACCAAGUGCUUAAAGAAUAUCACCAGUAACAAGACAACAGCAGGAGGGGAAGCAUCGGUUCCAACUCAAGCUAUGAAUGUAUCCUGUCCAAACGUGGUUGAUCUUAAUGAGGCCCCAAAUGUAGUUGCUAAAGACUGUCAAGGAUUUAAUGUCAAGCCAGUAGACAGCUUUGGCUUCAAAGAACCGGAGGAUAAGGAUACGACUGAGAUGACCCAGAAUAUUAAGAACAUACUUGCUUCCAACUUUCCUGAUGGUGAAGAAAACCACCCACAAACUCUCUUGUACAAGAAUCUCUGGCUCGAAACUGAAGCGGCCUUAUGUUCCUCGACUUGCAUGGCUCGCUAUCAUCGUAUGAAGAACGAGAUUGAUAAUUCCAAAUUGCAGAACAGUGAGGUCUCUGCAGAUGCAUCAACCUUUAUGCAGGAACCUGUUCUUAACCCGCAGAAAUCGGUUUCCAUCAUGAAAACUGUAGAGCCGGAGACGACUGAAUCACUCAUCAAACACGGAAGCUAUGGUGGGAACAAUGUAGUAACAAUGAGUCAUGACGCACCACAAAGCUUUAAAUUCAACUCUAAUCCCGUGGAUGCAGUAUUUUCACUUUUGUCCAGAAGCUUUACCGGUGGUUCAAAACAGGAAAAUCAUGGGAACGUCAAGCCUGAUGCUCAGAAAAAAAUAUGAUGAUGUUAUAGACAGGUUUCAGAUUCUGAAGCAUCUGGAAACAAAGCGCAAACUCAAAUCUCAGAACUGCCCGGAUUCAGAUAUUGGUGUUAUAGACAGGGUUCAGAUUCUGAAGCCGCAGGAAACAGAUUGCAAACUCAAUUCUCAGAACUUCACAGAGACAAGAAUGGAGAAUCUAGAUCAAGCUUCGGAGAUGGCUAAAAUUGACAGAAGCAGCCAUGUGGCUGAUGUAAUGGAUAGAUUCCAGAUACUAAAACGCCGAGAAGCUGAGCAAGUACAGAAGUCCCUCAACAGCUUGGACAUAGAUUCAGAUUCAGGAGACGAUCAGCCAAGAAACAAGACGCAAAUUUGUGAUCACCUCUGGCCAGACUCGAUGAUGACACUAGGUCGAGAUUCACAGAUGAAGAUGCACGUCGGCGCUGAACCAUCUGCAUACUCGGACUGGGAACAUGUCAUCAAGGAUGAUUGAGUACUGGAACUUCCUUGGACAAGAAGUUUCGAUCCUUUUUUUUUAAUGGCUUUGUUUGUGUAUAAAUAAAAGGGCUUAGUGUGACUGACGUUAAAUGAAACUGUGUGGAUUGGUAUUUGCUGUUUUUAAAUGUGAUUGUGUUGUUCCUAA